CCCUUAGAUGUUCUGGGCCGCACGCGCGCUACACUGACGAUGGCAACGAGUUUUUCCUUCGCCGAAAGGUGUGGGUAAUCUUUUGAAACAUCGUCGUGCUGGGGAUAGAUCAUUGCAAUUUUUGAUCUUGAACGAGGAAUUCCUAGUAAGCGCGAGUCAUCAGCUCGCGUUGAUUACGUCCCUGCCCUUUGUACACACCGCCCGUCGCUACUACCGAUUGAAUGGUUUAGUGAGGACUCCUGAUUGGCGCCGCCGCCCCGGCAACGGAGCAGCGGACUGCCGAAAAGUUGUUCAAACUUGACCAUUUAGAGGAAGUAAAAGUCGUAACA
rnacentral:rRNA from 1 species